GAUGAACGCUAGCGGGAGGCUUAACACAUGCAAGUCGAGGGGCAGCAUAAGGUAGCAAUACUUUGAUGGCGACCGGCGCACGGGUGAGUAACGCGUAUGUAACCUGUCCUUAACAGGAGGAUAACCCGGAGAAAUUCGGACUAAUACUGCAUAAAAUUAUAAAUAGGCAUCUAUUAAUAAUUAAAGCUACGGCGGUUAGGGAGGGGCAUGCGUAACAUUAGCUGGUUGGUAGGGUAACGGCCUACCAAGGCAAUGAUGUUUAGGGGACCUGAGAGGGUGACCCCCCACACUGGUACUGAGACACGGACCAGACUCCUACGGGAGGCAGCAGUGAGGAAUAUUGGUCAAUGGGCGGCAGCCUGAACCAGCCAUCCCGCGUGAAGGAAGAAUGCGCUAUGCGUUGUAAACUUCUUUUCAGGGGGAUAAAAUUCUGUAUGUAUACAGGACUGAAGGUACCCUGAGAAUAAGCAAUCGGCUAAACUCCGUGCCAGCAGCCCGGGUAAAA
rnacentral:rRNA from 1 species